rnacentral:rRNA from 1 species
GAUGAACGCUGGCGGCGUGCCUAAUACAUGCAAGUCGAGCGAACGGACGAGAAGCUUGCUUCUCUGAUGUUAGCGGCGGACGGGUGAGUAACACGUGGAUAACCUACCUAUAAGACUGGGAUAACUUCGGGAAACCGGGGCUAAUACCGGAUAAUAUUUUGAACCGCAUGGUUCAAAAGUGAAAGGCGGUCUUGCUGUCACUUAUAGAUGGAUCCGCGCUGCAUUAGCUAGUUGGUAAGGUAACGGCUUACCAAGGCAACGAUGCAUAGCCGACCUGAGAGGGUGAUCGGCCACACUGGAACUGAGACACGGUCCAGACUCCUACGGGAGGCAGCAGUAGGGAAUCUCCGCAAUGGGCGAAAGCCUGACGGAGCAACGCCGCGUGAGUGAUGAAGGUCUUCGGAUCGUAAAACUCUGUUAUUAGGGAAGAACAUAUGUGUAAGUAACUGUGCACAUCUUGACGGUACCUAAUCAGAAAGCCACGGCUAACUACGU